rnacentral:rRNA from 1 species
AGACCCGAAACCCGGUGAUCUAGCCAUGGGCAGGUUGAAGGUUGGGUAACACUAACUGGAGGACCGAACCGACUAAUGUUGAAAAAUUAGCGGAUGACCUGUGGCUGGGGGUGAAAGGCCAAUCAAACCGGGAGAUAGCUGGUUCUCCCCGAAAGCUAUUUAGGUAGCGCCUCGUGAAUUCAUCUCCGGGGGUAGAGCACUGUUUCGGCUAGGGGGCCAUCCCGGCUUACCAACCCGAUGCAAACUGCGAAUACCGGAGAAUGUUAUCACGGGAGACACACGGCGGGUGCUAACGUCCGUCGUGAAGAGGGAAACAACCCAGACCGCCAGCUAAGGUCCCAAAGUCAUGGUUAAGUGGGAAACGAUGUGGGAAGGCCCAGACAGCCAGGAUGUUGGCUUAGAAGCAGCCAUCAUUUAAAGAAAGCGUAAUAGCUCACUGGUCGAGUCGGCCUGCGCGGAAGAUGUAACGGGGCUAAACCAUGCACCGAAGCUGCGGCAGCGACACUCAGGUGUUGUUGGGUAGGGGAGCGUUCUGUAAGUCUGCGAAGGUGGCCUGUGAGGGUUGCUGGAGGUAUCAGAAGUGCGAAUGCUGACAUAAGUAACGAUAAAGCGGGUGAAAAGCCCGCUCGCCGGAAGACCAAGGGUUCCUGUCCAACGUUAAUCGGGGCAGGGUGAGUCGACCCCUAAGGCGAGGCCGAAAGGCGUAGUCGAUGGGAAACGGGUUAAUAUUCCCGUACUUGGUGUUACUGCGAAGGGGGGACGGAGAAGGCUA